rnacentral:rRNA from 1 species
GACGAACGCUGGCGGCGUGCCUAAUACAUGCAAGUCGAGCGAGACUCUUCGGAGUCUAGCGGCGGACGGGUGAGUAACACGUGGGCAACCUGCCUGUAAGACUGGGAUAACACCGGGAAACCGGUGCUAAUACCGGAUAAUCCUUUUCCUCUCAUGAGGAAAAACUGAAAGUCGGUUUCGGCUGACACUUACAGAUGGGCCCGCGGCGCAUUAGCUAGUUGGUGAGGUAACGGCUCACCAAGGCGACGAUGCGUAGCCGACCUGAGAGGGUGAUCGGCCACACUGGGACUGAGACACGGCCCAGACUCCUACGGGAGGCAGCAGUAGGGAAUCUUCCACAGUGGACGAAAGUCUGAUGGAGCAACGCCGCGUGAGCGAUGAAGGCCUUCGGGUCGUAAAGCUCUGUUGUUAGGGAAGAACAAGUACCGGAGUAACUGCCGGUACCUUGACGGUACCUAACCAGAAAGCCACGGCUAACUACGUGCCAGCCGCCGCCGUAA